rnacentral:misc_RNA from 1 species
AUAUGGCGGCACCCUCGGCACUGGUCACCUCUGCUGUGCAGAAUGUCACUUCGGCUGCCCCUGCCGCAGCUCAGCCGCACACAGCACUCACGCACACAGUGCUCACGCAAGGUACAGGAUCAUCGCCACAACCCAAGCCGAUUACGACUAAGAAAAUAUCACUCGUUAAGAAGCCCACUGUACAAGUCGCUUCCUCCUCACUGGCUAUCAAUGCCCUCAAGGGCAAAAUUAAGGUUGGUGAGAAAUAUGAAUCAGGCUUCAGCAUGGCCCAUGAAGAACUCUGCGAGAACAAUGGGCGGGAACUGAAGGUGCUGGUACUGAUUACAACGGCGCCAGACCACGAGAAGCACCGCACAGCUGUAAGACAGACCUGGGGCCACUUUUCAGUGAGGAAGGAUGUGGUCAUGGCCUUUGUAGUUGGGAGAACCACCAAUGCCAAUGUUCAGAGCAACAUAGACAAGGAGAAUGAAUUAUAUGGCGAUAUUAUUCAAGCCAAUUUUAUUGAUCAUUAUAGUAAUCUCACACUGAAGACAAUAUCUAUGUUUGAAUGGGUUAAGACAUAUUGCUCUGAGUCACACUUCAUUCUUAAGACUGAUGAUGAUAUGUUUAUCAACAUGCCCUUACUUUUAAAUUUUAUCGACUCGAAGGCAAAGGAGGACCACGUAAUGUAUGGUCGAAUGGCCAAAGGCUGGAAACCUGUAAGGAAUAAGAAGAGCAAAUAUUUUAUUGAUACUAAAACCUACAGCAAAUCUAAGUACCCAGACUUUCUCACCGGACCAGCAUAUCUCUUUACGAGUGAUAUCGUAGAUGAUAUAUACCAGAAGGCUCUUGACACUACAUUCUUUGUUUUGGAAGAUGUGCUGCUUACUGGUAUAGUGGGGGAAAGUUUGAGAAUCAGAAGAGUAGGUGAUUCCCGGUUCAGGAAUGAAAAAAUUAAACUAACAGAUACAUGUGGCCUCAUGAAAACGAUAUCAAUUCAUAUGGUUAAAUUUGAAGAACAGUUCGACAUAUACAAACGGACAUUAGAUGGAAAAGCUAAGUGUAAAAUUGGAUAGCUAAAUUCAAAUUAGCUCUCUUCCUCUUCUUGAAGAAGUAGAUGCUUAAUAUCGGCAGGUAUAAGUUUACCAUGUGAUAGACAAAAUAUGAUAUAUGCUCAAAACACGACUCUUUGGAAGUCUGUGAUUCUCCGUUUCCUUAAGUGUGAUGGAAAUCAAGAGACAUUUUCAUUGAUGUCUAGUCUCUACAUCUCACGCAGUGAUGGUAACAUUAACUUAUUGUGUAAGUUGCAUAUACAGUACAGUACCAGGAUGUAAAUUUUUAUGACGAAUUAUUGUAGAAAUGAGGAAUUUAUUCACAGCGAUUUGAAGGAUUCAUGAACUACUGAGCCAAAGAUAUUACACUACAGAACAUGUGAUGGUCAUCCUCAAUCAUAUUAAUAUUUAUUUUGUGUAUUGUGUCCUUCACAAGACUUUAGAAACAUUGGUGUAGAAGGAAUAUUUUUUGUAAGACCUGUAAGGAAAGUACAGUAGAGGAUUUUUGCAAAAUGCUAAAUGACUUUUCUUAAUAAUACCAUUUCAUCGUGCAUUUCUAAGGUCCCUUUCUCUCUCUCUUGGUUAUGAUGAACAAAAGUGAAUGGCUCAUUGUUUCAGUAACUGUUCAAUAAUGAUGAGUCUUUUAUUGAUAAGGUGCUACCCCUCUCUCUCUCUCAGCGAAGGUUAGUGCAUUUAUUGAUAAGGUGCUACCCCUCUCUCUCUCUCACCGAAGGUUAGUGCAUUUUAAAGUGCGAGUGAGUACAGGGUUUCACCCUACACAGGGUUCUGUAUGGGUGAAGUUCUCUCUCUUACAUAUGUUUUACCAUUACAUAGUUUCAGUGAAAAAGUGAACAUUUUUAUACAUACAUACAUAUAUAUAUAUAUAUAUAUA